AUGAGUCGUUGUGCUAAUUCCCAUUGUGUGGAAUUAGUGGAUUUCAAGGCAGACCGGGUUCAUAGAGACGAAUCGGUGGACCUGAUUCAUAGAGAUGAAUCGGUGGACCGGAUCCAUAGAGAUGUAUUGGUGGCAGAACUUGUUGUUCUGGUUGGUUGGUACCACAUGCAUAGAGUCGGUUGGUCUCUCUGCAUAUUGUUGUUGUUGUGUCAUAACAUGAAUGGGAGUUUGCCAAUGUUGUGA